rnacentral:rRNA from 1 species
UACAGAGGGUGCGAGCGUUAAUCGGAAUUACUGGGCGUAAAGCGCGCGUAGGCGGCUUUGCAAGUCGGGUGUGAAAUCCCCAGGCUUAACCUGGGAACUGCUUCCGAGACUGUGCGACUAGAGAUCGGUAGAGGGCGGUGGAAUUUCCGGUGUAGCGGUGAAAUGCGUAGAUAUCAGGAGGAACACCGGUGGCGAAGGCGGGUCUCUGGGCCGAUACUGACGCUGAGGAGCGAAAGCGUGGGGAGCGAACAGG